ACUUGGAGAGGGGCUGGCUGUGAUCAGUUUGAUCCAUCAAAGUGACUCAUACACGGCUGUCCUCUCUGUUACU
ensembl:miRNA